rnacentral:tRNA from 1 species
GGGGAUGUAGCUCAGUUGGGAGAGCGCUGCGUUCGCAUCGCAGAGGUCAAGGGUUCGAAUCCCUCCAUCUCCACCA